rnacentral:rRNA from 1 species
ACUAAAAAGCUAGCUUAAUCAUCUAAAUACACAAAACAACAUUAAAACUCUUUACAAGACCACAAUAAUUUAAACCAAAACAUUUUACCGCCCUAGUAUGUGAGACAGAAAAGGCCCCCCAAAGCCAUAGUAAAAGUACCGCAAGGGAACGCUGAAAGAGAAAUGAAACAAAUCAUUUAAGUGCUAUAAAGCAGAGACUCACCCUCGUACCUUUUGCAUCAUGAUUUAGCCAACCUAUCUGAGCAAAGAGAACUUUAGUUCAAGCCCCCGAAACUAAGUGAGCUACCCCGAGACAGCCUAUUAAUUUAGGGCCAACCCGUCUCUGUGGCAAAAGAGUGGGAAGAUCUCCAGGUAGAGGUGACAGACCUACCGAACUUAGUUAUAGCUGGUUGCCUAGGAAAUGAAUAGAAGUUCAGCCUUGCACUCCUUAACUCACCAUCUUUAUAUCCAGCACGAGUCAGAGAAACAUGCAAGAGUUAAUCACAGGGGGUACAGCCCCUAUGAUUCAGGAUACAACCUCACCAGGAGGUUAAAGAUUAUAUUAACUAAGAUACAUGCUGCUCUAGUGGGCCUAAAAGCAGCCACCUAAAUAGAAAGCGUUAAAGCUCCAGCAGACAAAAAUCCAUUAUCCAAAUAACUAUAUCUAAAACCCCUAACUGUACUAGGCCGUCCCAUGCUAAACAUGGGAAAGACACUGCUAAAAUGAGUAACAAGAAGUUAUUAACGAACUUCUCCCAGCCUACGUGUACGCUAGAUCGAACCCCUCACUAGCAAUUACCGAGCCCAACAAAAGAGGGCAAUGUGCAAAAACUAAAGAACAAGAAAACACCACACAACUUAAUCGUUAGUCCCACACCGGAAGGCCUUAUAAGGGAAAGACUAAAAGAAAAGGAAGGAACUCGGCAAACAAAAGCCUCGCCUGUUUACCAAAAACAUCGCCUCCUGCAAAAAUCGAAGUAUAGGAGGUCUUGCCUGCCCAGUGAUAAAUUAAACGGCCGCGGUAUUUUGACCGUGCGAAGGUAGCGCAAUCACUUGUCUUUUAAAUGAAGACCUGUAUGAAUGGCUAAACGAGGGCUUAACUGUCUCCCCUCUCCAGUCAGUGAAAUUGAUCUGCCCGUGCAGAAGCGGACAUAAAAAUACAAGACGAGAAGACCCUUUGGAGCUUAAGAUACAAGAUCAACCAUGUCAAGAAUACAAAACAAGUUAAACUAAAUGGCACUUGAUCCCUAUCUUCGGUUGGGGCGACCACGGGAGAAAACAAAUCUCCCAUGCGGACUGGGGUUAAUACCCUAAAACCAAGAAAGACACUUCUAAGUAACAAAACAUUUGACCAUAUAAGAUCCGGCAAACGCCGAUCAACGAACCAAGUUACCCUAGGGAUAACAGCGCAAUCCCCUUUCAGAGUCCAUAUCGACAAGGGGGUUUACGACCUCGAUGUUGGAUCAGGACAUCCUAAUGGUGCAGCCGCUAUUAAGGGUUCGUUUGUUCAACGAUUAAAGUCCUACGUGAUCUGAGUUCAGACCGGAGCAAUCCAGGUCAGUUUCUAUCUGUAAUGACACUUCUUCCCAGUACGAAAGGACCGGAAAAAGGGGGCCUAUACCGCCAGUACGCCCCACCCCUACUUAAUGAAAACAACUAAAUUAAACAA